CCUCCCAAAAUAAAACAAGUUCUGGGUUGGUACUCCCUCCCAAAAUAAAACAAGUUCUGGGUUUGUUCCAAGUCAAUCUUGAAAUGGAAACAGUGCUUAUUUCCUCAUCAUGCGGUAAAGAACAUUAAAAAGAUGGGCAGCAACAACGGCAAUUGAUAGAAUGGUAGAAGGAUCAUAUAGAUCUACCAACAUUAUUGAACUAUAGUUCCAGAUGAAUAUAACAACACUCUCCAGCCAAAAUUAUGAUACGAACAAUCUGCGGGGCAGAAAGGAAAAAUGAAACUGAUACAGAUUACCGGUUCAAGAAAUUAGGAAAAUUGCUAACACAACACAUGGAUGAGAUAAGUAAAUAGAUGCUCUUCUUGACAAGCUAA
rnacentral:lncRNA from 1 species